rnacentral:lncRNA from 1 species
GCACUCCUCACCCAGCCUGCGGCCCCACAACUCACCGCCUAGCCCUUCCCACUAUUUUUAGAGGCAAAGUCUUGCUCUGUCACCCAGGCUGGCGUGCAGGGGGACGAUCCUAGCUCACUGCAGCCUUGAACUCCUGGGCUCAAAUGAUCUUCCCGCCUCAGCCUCCUGGAUAGCUGGGACUAGUGGGAAGCAUGUGCCACUAUGCCUGGCUAUUUUUAUUUGAUUAUAGAGAUGGGGUCUCACUAUGCUGCCUCCUUCUUUACGGUCCAGCCACCAGAAGCAGUUCCUGGUCUCCUGACUCUACUGUGUCACUUCAGGGCUUUGGAACAUGCUUUCCCUCUGCUGGAAGACAUCUGCAGCCACCUCAUCUCCCUCUUCCUUCAGUGCUCUGAGGAACCGUGCGAAUAGUUGAGGCAAGAACAACAUUUGACGUUAUCCUUUUUGAACUGCUCCUGGCCUUAAACUGUCCCAAAAUGUCUCUUCUUUGGAUGGAAUCUCCUUGUUCUGCACUCAAAAUGAAACCUGAAAGAGACUACGAAACACACUCAAGCAACUCCAGAGCUCUUGAGACAAUUACGUGAUUGUGCUCUGCCUUCAACCUGGGCCUCCCCGGCUGCAAAACAAGGAAACAAAACCAAAAAUCACACAAAAAAGUCUUUAUUUUCAUCAUUUUUUUUGAAGGCUUCUUCUCACCUGAACGACGGGGUUUCACCAUAUUGGCCAAGCUGAUCUCCACCUGCUGACCUCGAGUGAUCCGCCCACCUCGGCUUCCCAAAGCCCUGGGAUUCCAGGUGUGAGCCACUGCGCCUGACCAGAGACAAAUUUUAUAACCAUAAAGCUAGGAGGAAAAGAUGAUGGUGCAGAAAACAUGAAGUA